rnacentral:rRNA from 1 species
UACGGAGGGGGCUAGCGUUGUUCGGAAUUACUGGGCGUAAAGCGCACGUAGGCGGCUUUGUAAGUUAGAGGUGAAAGCCCAGGGCUUAACCCUGGAAUUGCCUUUAAGACUGCAUCGCUAGAAUCGUGGAGAGGUAAGUGGAAUUCCGAGUGUAGAGGUGAAAUUCGUAGAUAUUCGGAAGAACACCAGUGGCGAAGGCGACUUACUGGACACGUAUUGACGCUGAGGUGCGAAAGCGUGGG